rnacentral:rRNA from 1 species
UACGAAGGGUGCAAGCGUUACUCGGAAUUACUGGGCGUAAAGCGUGCGCAGGCGGUUUUGUAAGUCAGAUGUGAAAUCCCCGGGCUUAACCUGGGAACUGCGUUUGAAACUACAAGGCUAGAGUGUGGCAGAGGGGGGUGGAAUUCCACGUGUAGCAGUGAAAUGCGUAGAGAUGUGGAGGAACACCGAUGGCGAAGGCAGCCCCCUGGGUUAACACUGACGCUCAGGCACGAAAGCCAGGGGAGCAAACGGG